GACGAACCGUGCGAACGUUAUUCGGAAUCAUUGGGCUUAAAGAGCUCGUAGGCGGUCUGUCGCGUCGGAUGUGAAAACUCGGGGCUCAACCCCGGGCCUGCAUUCGAUACGGGCAGGCUAGAGUUCGGUAGGGGAGACUGGAAUUCCUGGUGUAGCGGUGAAAUGCGCAGAUAUCAGGAGGAACACCGGUGGCGAAGGCGGGUCUCUGGGCCGAUACUGACGCUGAGGAGCGAAAGCGUGGGGAGCAAACAGG
rnacentral:rRNA from 1 species